rfam:Oryza rufipogon genomic scaffold, chr01
UUGACUUUUCUUAAGUCAAACUUUUUUUUAGAUUUGAUCAAAUUUAUAAAAAAAAAUAUAGCAAUAUUUUUAGAAAAAAAAUAUGUUCAAUAUUAAAUGUAAUGAAACUAAUUUGGUGCUAUAACUGUUUUUAUAUUUUUCUAUAAUAAAUUUGAUUAAACUUUGAAGAAGUUUGACUUAAAAAAAGUCGAA